AUUGAACGCUGGCGGCAGGCCUAACACAUGCAAGUCGAGCGGGGUUUUCAGACCUAGCGGCGGACGGGUGAGUAAUGCGUGGGAAGCUGCCCGAUAGAGGGGGAUACCAGUUGGAAACGACUGUUAAUACCGCAUAAUGUCUACGGACCAAAGUGUGGGACCUUCGGGCCACAUGCUAUCGGAUGCGCCUACGUGGGAUU
rnacentral:rRNA from 1 species